rnacentral:rRNA from 1 species
AUCAUGAUUUACAUUUGAGUGAGUGGCGAACUGGUGAGUAACACGUGGGAAACCUGCCCAGAAGCGGGGGAUAACACCUGGAAACAGAUGCUAAUACCGCAUAACAACUUGGACCGCAUGGUCCGAGUUUGAAAGAUGGCUUCGGCUAUCACUUUUGGAUGGUCCCGCGGCGUAUUAGCUAGAUGGUGGGGUAACGGCUCACCAUGGCAAUGAUACGUAGCCGACCUGAGAGGGUAAUCGGCCACAUUGGGACUGAGACACGGCCCAAACUCCUACGGGAGGCAGCAGUAGGGAAUCUUCCACAAUGGACGAAAGUCUGAUGGAGCAACGCCGCGUGAGUGAAGAAGGGUUUCGGCUCGUAAAACUCUGUUGUUAAAGAAGAACAUAUCUGAGAGUAACUGUUCAGGUAUUGACGGUAUUUAACCAGAAAGCCACGGCUAACUACGUGCCAGCAGCCGCGGUAAUACGUAGGUGGCAAGCGUUGUCCGGAUUUAUUGGGCGUAAAGCGAGCGCAGGCGGUUUUUUAAGUCUGAUGUGAAAGCCUUCGGCUCAACCGAAGAAGUGCAUCGGAAACUGGGAAACUUGAGUGCAGAAGAGGACAGUGGAACUCCAUGUGUAGCGGUGAAAUGCGUAGAUAUAUGG